GUCGUAACAAGGUCUCCGUUGGUGAACCAGCGGAGGGAUCAUUACCGAGUUUACAACUCCCAAACCCCUGUGAACAUACCACUUGUUGCCUCGGCGGAUCAGCCCGCUCCCGGUAAAACGGGACGGCCCGCCAGAGGACCCCUAAAACUCUGUUUCUAUAUGUAACUUCUGAGUAAAACCAUAAAUAAAUCAAAACUUUCAACAACGGAUCUCUUGGUUCUGGCAUCGAUGAAGAACGCAGCAAAAUGCGAUAAGUAAUGUGAAUUGCAGAAUUCAGUGAAUCAUCGAAUCUUUGAACGCACAUUGCGCCCGCCAGUAUUCUGGCGGGCAUGCCUGUUCGAGCGUCAUUUCAACCCUCAAGCACAGCUUGGUGUUGGGACUCGCGUUAAUUCGCGUUCCUCAAAUUGAUUGGCGGUCACGUCGAGCUUCCAUAGCGUAGUAGUAAAACCCUCGUUACUGGUAAUCGUCGCGGCCACGCCGUUAAACCCCAACUUCUGAAUGUUGACCUCGGAUCAGGUAGGAAUACCCGCUG
rnacentral:rRNA from 1 species